CGGAGCUUGCUCCACCGAAAGAAAAAGAGUGGCGAACGGGUGAGUAACACGUGGGUAACCUGCCCAUCAGAAGGGGAUAACACUUGGAAACAGGUGCUAAUACCGUAUAACACUAUUUUCCGCAUGGAAGAAAGUUGAAAGGCGCUUUUGCGUCACUGAUGGAUGGACCCGCGGUGCAUUAGCUAGUUGGUGAGGUAACGGCUCACCAAGGCAACGAUGCAUAGCCGACCUGAGAGGGUGAUCGGCCACACUGGGACUGAGACACGGCCCAGACUCCUACGGGAGGCAGCAGUAGGGAAUCUUCGGCAAUGGACGAAAGUCUGACCGAGCAACGCCGCGUGAGUGAAGAAGGUUUUCGGAUCGUAAAACUCUGUUGUUAGAGAAGAACAAGGAUGAGAGUAAAACGUUCAUCCCUUGACGGUAUCUAACCAGAAAGCCACGGCUAACUACGUGCCAGCAGCCGCGGUAAUACGUAGGUGGCAAGCGUUGUCCGGAUUUAUUGGGCGUAAAGCGAGCGCAGGCGGUUUCUUAAGUCUGAUGUGAAAGCCCCCGGCUCAACCGGGGAGGGUCAUUGGAAACUGGGAGACUUGAGUGCAGAAGAGGAGAGUGGAAUUCCAUGUGUAGCGGUGAAAUGCGUAGAUAUAUG
rnacentral:rRNA from 1 species